rnacentral:rRNA from 1 species
CCGCACGCGCGCUACACUGAUGCGUUCAACGAGUAUACAACCUUGAUCGAUAGGUCUGGGUAAUCUUGUGAAUGCGCAUCGUGCUAGGGAUAGACUGUUGCAAUUUUCAGUCUUGAACGAGGAAUUCCUAGUAAACGCAAGUCAUCAACUUGCAUUGAUUACGU